UACGUAGGUGACCAGCGUUGUCCGGAUUUACUGGGCGUAAAGAGCGCGCAGGCGGUCGUUCAAGUCGAGUGUGAAAGCCCCCGGCUCAACUGGGGAGGGUCAUUCGAUACUGAUCGACUCGAAGGCAGGAGAGGGAAGUGGAAUUCCCGGUGUAGUGGUGAAAUGCGUAGAUAUCAAGUGGAACACCAGUGGCGAAGGCGAGUCUCUGGACAUUUCCUGACGCUGAGGCACGAAAGCCAGGGGAGCAAACGGG
rnacentral:rRNA from 1 species